rnacentral:rRNA from 1 species
GUAGGCCUACGGGGCGCAGCAGUGGGGAAUAUUGCACAAUGGGGGAAACCCUGAUGCAGCAACGCCGCGUGAGUGAAGAAGUAUUUCGGUAUGUAAAGCUCUAUCAGCAGGGAAGAAGAUGACGGUACCUGAAUAAGAAGCCCCGGCUAACUACGUGCCAGCAGCCGCGGUAAUACGUAGGGGGCAAGCGUUAUCCGGAUUUACUGGGUGUAAAGGGAGCGCAGACGGCAGUGCAAGUCUGGAGUGAAAGCCCGGGUCCCAACCCAGGCACUGCUCUGGAAACUGUGCGGCUAGAGUACUGGUGG